rnacentral:rRNA from 1 species
CCAGCUCCAAUAGCGUAUACUAAAGUUGUUGCAGUUAAAAAGCUCGUAGUCGAAUAUUAGUUUCCAAUCGCUGCCUUGUUCUUUAUUGUAACAGAGGCUUGGUGUGUUGGAAUCUUUUUUUUGUCCAAUGGAAGACAUUCAUUUUGAAUGAAACCCAUUGUGCAUAUAUUACUGUGAAUAAAAUAGAGUGUUCAUGGCAGGCCUUUAUGGCUUAUAUACCUUAGCAUGGAAUAAUAGAAUAGGACUGUCGGUUCUAUUUUAUUGGUUAUUGGAGCCGAAGUAAUGAUUAAUAGGAAUAGUUGGGGGCAUUCGUACUCCGUAGUCAGAGGUGAAAUUCUUGGAUUUACGGAAGACGAACAACUGCGAAAGCAUCUGCCAAGGAUGUUUUCA